rnacentral:ncRNA from 1 species
GGCACCUGUACACGUUGCGGGGCAACGAUUGUAAAAGA